rnacentral:tRNA from 2 species
CUUAUGAUGGCAGAAUAGUGCACUAAAUUUAAAAUUUACUUAUGGAUUUGUUCCUCAUAAGA